AUUGAACGCUGGCGGCAUGCCUAACACAUGCAAGUCGAGCGGAGCACCUGACGGGUGAGUAAUGCCUAGUAAUCUGCUUGGUAGUGGGGGAUAACGUCCUGAAACGGGCGCUCAUACCGCAUACUAUCAUAUCAGCCUAGGUCGGAUUAGCUAGUUGGUAGGGUAAAGGCAUACCAAGGCGACGAUCCGUAACUGAGCUGAGAGGAUGAUCAUUCACACUGGAACUGAGACACGGUCCAGACUCCUACGGGAGGCAGCAGUGGGGAAUAUUGGACAAUGGGCGAAAGCCUGAUCCAGCAAUGCCGCGUGUGUGAAGAAGGUCUUCGGAUUGUAAAGCACUUUUAGUUGGGAGGCGUUAACAACAGAAUAAGCACCGGCUAACUACGUGCCAGCAGCCGCGGUAAUUC
rnacentral:rRNA from 1 species